CGGCGAGUGAAGCGGGAACAGCUCAAAUUUAAAAUCGUGUCAGGGUGACCUGGUCACGAAUUGUAGUUUGAUGAGGUAUGCUUGGUGGGCGCCUGGGUCAAAAUCCUUUGGAAAAGGGUAUCAUAGAGGGUGACAAUCCCGUCUGUGAUCCAGACAGCGGUCUAUCGUGUAAGCUACCUUCAAAGAGUCGGGUUGUUUGGGAAUGCAGCCCUAAGCUGGUGGUAAAUUCCAUCUAAAGCUAAAUAUUCGUGAGAGACCGAUAGCGAACAAGUACCGUGAGGGAAAGUUGAAAAGCACUCUGGAGAGAGAGUCAAACAGCACGUGAAAUUGUUAACAGGGAAACGUUGGGCACCAGUACGCGCCUCGCGUAAAAUCAACCAUCUCUUCCCCGAAGGUACACGUCUGGAUGGACGAGCCUUAACCAGCCGUUCUUCGGUUCGUUGCCUGAGGGGGGUGGUGCACUUUUGCGUGGGCGGGUCAACAUCAGUUAGGACCGUCGGAAAAUCCUCAAGGGAAGGUAGGUACCGGAUUCGUUUGGUACAACUUAUAGCCCUUGUUGAACGCGACGAUUCUGACUGUGGAGUCGCGACUCGUGCUUCCCUCGGGAGGCAGGCCCCCAGGGCUCUCAAUUUCCGCCCGGGCUAGACAGCUUGCUGACUAGUCUAGGUCUGGAGGUUGAUGUGGUCAGGGUAGGGUUCUAGCGAGUCUCGGACGUUGGCGAAAUGGUUCUCAACGACCCGUCUUGAAACACGGACCAAGGAGUCUAACAUGUGUGCGAGUAUUUGGGUGAUAAACCCGGAUGCAUAAUGAAAGUGACCACAGGGGAGAAGGGUUUGGCUUAACGGCCGGCUCCGCACCCUCGACCGAUCCGAUUGCCCUCGUGGCGACGGGUUUGAGUUUGAGCAUAUCUGUUAGGACCCGAAAGAUGGUGAACUAUGCCUGAGUAGGAUGAAGCCAGAGGAAACUCUGGUGGAGGUCCGUAGCGAUUCUGACGUGCAAAUCGAUCGUCGAACUUGGGUAUAGGGGCGAAAGACUAAUCGAACCAUCUAGUAGCUGGUUCCCGCCGAAGUUUCCCUCAGGAUAGCAGAAACGCGUGACAGUAUUAUGAGGUAAAGCGAAUGAUUAGAGGCCUUGGGGGCGAAAUGCCCUUAACCUAUUCUCAAACUUUAAAUAUGUAAGAAGUCCCUGCCACUUAAUUGGGCUAGGACAAGUCGUAUGAGCGUUUCUAGUGGGCCAUUUUUGGUAAGCAGAACUGGCGAUGUGGGAUGAACCAGACGGGAGGUUAAGGUGCCGGAAUGUACGCUCAUGUAGACACCACAAAAGGUGUUGGUUCAUCUAGACAGCAGGACGGUGGCCAUGGAAGUCGGAAUCCGCUAAGGAGUGUGUAACAACUCACCUGCCGAAUGAACUAGCCCUGAAAAUGGAUGGCGCUCAAGCGUGCUACCCAAACCUCCCCGCCACGGGUUAAUGCGAUGCCCUGGCGAGUAGGCGGGCGUGGGGGUUGUGAAGAAGC
rnacentral:rRNA from 1 species